UAUGGUCAAGUGAAGAAGCGCAUACGGUGGAUGCCUUGGCAGUCAGAGGCGAUGAAAGACGUGGUAGCCUGCGAAAAGCUUCGGGGAGUCGGCAAACAGACUGUGAUCCGGAGAUGUCUGAAUGGGGGAACCCAGCCAUCAUAAGAUGGUUAUCUUGUACUGAAUACAUAGGUGCAAGAGGCGAACCAGGGGAACUGAAACAUCUAAGUACCCUGAGGAAAAGAAAUCAACCGAGAUUCCCUUAGUAGUGGCGAGCGAACGGGGACCAGCCCUUAAGUUGUAUUGAGAUUAGCGGAACGUUCUGGAAAGGACGGCCAUAGUGGGUGAUAGCCCUGUACGCGAAAAUCCCUUUGCAAUGAAAUCGAGUAGGACGGGGCACGAGAAACCUUGUCUGAAUAUGGGGGGACCAUCCUCCAAGGCUAAAUACUACUGACUGACCGAUAGUGAACCAGUACCGUGAGGGAAAGGCGAAAAGAACCGCGGAGAGCGGAGUGAAAUAGAUCCUGAAACCGUAUGCGUACAAGCAGUGGGAGCCCACUUUGUUGGGUGACUGCGUACCUUUUGUAUAAUGGGUCAGCGACUUAUUUUCAGUGGCGAGCUUAACCGAAUAGGGGAGGCGUAGCGAAAGCGAGUCUUAAUAGGGCGUCUAGUCGCUGGGAAUAGACCCGAAACCGGGCGAUCUAUCCAUGGGCAGGUUGAAGGUUGGGUAACACUAACUGGAGGACCGAACCGACUACCGUUGAAAAGUUAGCGGAUGACCUGUGGAUCGGAGUGAAAGGCUAAUCAAGCUCGGAGAUAGCUGGUUCUCCUCGAAAGCUAUUUAGGUAGCGCCUCAUGUAUCACUGUAGGGGGUAGAGCACUGUUUCGGCUAGGGGGUCAUCCCGACUUACCAAACCGAUGCAAACUCCGAAUACCUACAAGUGCCGAGCAUGGGAGACACACGGCGGGUGCUAACGUCCGUCGUGAAAAGGGAAACAACCCAGACCGUCAGCUAAGGUCCCAAAGUCAUGGUUAAGUGGGAAACGAUGUGGGAAGGCUUAGACAGCUAGGAGGUUGGCUUAGAAGCAGCCACCCUUUAAAGAAAGCGUAAUAGCUCACUAGUCGAGUCGGCCUGCGCGGAAGAUGUAACGGGGCUCAAACCAUGCACCGAAGCUACGGGUAUCAUCUUUUGAUGAUGCGGUAGAGGAGCGUUCUGUAAGCCUGUGAAGGUGAGUUGAGAAGCUUGCUGGAGGUAUCAGAAGUGCGAAUGCUGACAUGAGUAACGACAAUGGGUGUGAAAAACACCCACGCCGAAAGACCAAGGUUUCCUGCGCAACGUUAAUCGACGCAGGGUUAGUCGGUCCCUAAGGCGAGGCUGAAAAGCGUAGUCGAUGGAAAACAGGUUAAUAUUCCUGUACUUCUGGUUAUUGCGAUGGAGGGACGGAGAAGGCUAGGCCAGCCUGGCGUUGGUAGUCCAGGUUUAAGGUGGUAGGCUGAGAUCUUAGGUAAAUCCGGGAUCUUAAGGCCGAGAGCUGAUGACGAGUGUUCUUUUAGAACACGAAGUGGUUGAUGCCAUGCUUCCAAGAAAAGCUUCUAAGCUUCAGGUAACCAGGAACCGUACCCCAAACCGACACAGGUGGUUGGGUAGAGAAUACCAAGGCGCUUGAGAGAACUCGGGUGAAGGAACUAGGCAAAAUGGCACCGUAACUUCGGGAGAAGGUGCGCCGGUGGAGGUGAAGCAUUUACUGCGUAAGCCCCUGCCGGUCGAAGAUACCAGGCCGCUGCGACUGUUUAUUAAAAACACAGCACUCUGCAAACACGAAAGUGGACGUAUAGGGUGUGACGCCUGCCCGGUGCCGGAAGGUUAAUUGAUGGGGUUAGCGCAAGCGAAGCUCUUGAUCGAAGCCCCGGUAAACGGCGGCCGUAACUAUAACGGUCCUAAGGUAGCGAAAUUCCUUGUCGGGUAAGUUCCGACCUGCACGAAUGGCGUAACGAUGGCGGCGCUGUCUCCACCCGAGACUCAGUGAAAUUGAAAUCGCUGUGAAGAUGCAGUGUAUCCGCGGCUAGACGGAAAGACCCCGUGAACCUUUACUAUAGCUUUGCACUGGACUUUGAAUUUGCUUGUGUAGGAUAGGUGGGAGGCUUUGAAGCGUGGACGCCAGUCUGCGUGGAGCCAACCUUGAAAUACCACCCUGGCAACUUUGAGGUUCUAACUCAGGUCCGUUAUCCGGAUCGAGGACAGUGUAUGGUGGGUAGUUUGACUGGGGCGGUCUCCUCCUAAAGAGUAACGGAGGAGUACGAAGGUGCGCUCAGACCGGUCGGAAAUCGGUCGUAGAGUAUAAAGGCAAAAGCGCGCUUGACUGCGAGACAGACACGUCGAGCAGGUACGAAAGUAGGUCUUAGUGAUCCGGUGGUUCUGUAUGGAAGGGCCAUCGCUCAACGGAUAAAAGGUACUCCGGGGAUAACAGGCUGAUACCGCCCAAGAGUUCAUAUCGACGGCGGUGUUUGGCACCUCGAUGUCGGCUCAUCACAUCCUGGGGCUGAAGCCGGUCCCAAGGGUAUGGCUGUUCGCCAUUUAAAGUGGUACGCGAGCUGGGUUUAGAACGUCGUGAGACAGUUCGGUCCCUAUCUGCCGUGGACGUUUGAGAUUUGAGAGGGGCUGCUCCUAGUACGAGAGGACCGGAGUGGACGAACCUCUGGUGUUCCGGUUGUCACGCCAGUGGCAUUGCCGGGUAGCUAUGUUCGGAAAAGAUAACCGCUGAAAGCAUCUAAGCGGGAAACUUGCCUCAAGAUGAGAUCUCACUGGAACCUUGAGUUCCCUAAAGGGCCGUCGAAGACUACGACGUUGAUAGGUUGGGUGUGUAAGCGCUGUGAGGCGUUGAGCUAACCAAUACUAAUUGCCCGUGAGGCUUGACCAUA
rnacentral:rRNA from 1 species